rnacentral:lncRNA from 1 species
AGACAGUGAAACCAAAGACAAACUAAAAUCAACUCUAGUUUCUGCCCUGUUCAACCUCUUUUUCCACUAAAGACAUUUGACUUAUUUGUGUGUUGUUUUUAAACUACCAGACUUUUUUUUAUCUUCAGAUGCUGCUCAUUGGACAGUUCUUCAGGACCCACAUUCCUGUGCUUAUUAUCAUUCUUCUAAUACAGAGUUUAACAGUUUGCGUUGCAGAGCAGUCAGAGUUGAUUUGUUCACAUCAACCAAUCGUAGCCCUGGCUGGUGAUGAUGUCAUUCUACCACGUUACCUUGAUCUUCCAAUCAGUGCCAGUUCUGAGUCUGGGUCUGGCUGGACGGUGAGGGAAACCUCCUCUCUGCUGGACCUACAGAGACAGUCAGAGGUCCUGAUGACCUCUAUACUGUCAGCAGCAGAGUGACUGUGGAGAAGAGACACAGCAACAACUUCACCUGUAGAGUCCAACAGAAGGACAUCAACCAGACCAGAGAGACACACAUCUAUGUUCAAGGUUAUAAAGAGCUCUAAAUAUAUUAAACAUAUUGUCACUGUUGAGCUCUAGUUUGAUUCAAUAAUGUAAUUCUGUUCUCUCUUCUAUCUUUUCAUCUGAUUUAUUCACAGUUCUGUGGUCUUUUUAUUAGAUUUUUUGGAUCAUCAUCAUUCCUGUUUGUAUUAAUGUGCUACAAGUUCCUGUCAGAGCUCUUUAUUGACAUACAUACAGGCAUAACAACAGUAACUAAGCAAACAGUCUGAAAUGAUCUUCACUGCAGGAAAUUUGGGGAAAAUUGAGGAAAUUAUUAAAAUGUGUUGCUUUCAAAAGCUUUCUCUCAAAUGUUCUGUUUAUGAAAGUCACUGUGAUGUUAAAAAUAUUCCAGUUCAAACAACAAAAACACAUAAACAAAACCACUUCAACACUUUCCUGAUUCUGUUGGCCCACAGACAUAAAGAGGAUCCAGAGGAAUUAAAUGUAACACUGAAGACACUUUAAAACACAGAGAGACGCUGCGUUGAACGACGUGGACUAAAAACCUCCUGUAGUGACCGAGAACAAGGAGGAAAUCAUUGUGACACUAGAGGAUAUUCUCCAUCUUUUCCUGCUCUACCAGCAGCAUAACUUCUGUAUAUGCAGAUGAUGCAGUUGCACAGGGGCCUGCAGCAGUUCAGUGAGCUUAGCCCCUUAUGUUAACUGUUAACUGUAAGCUUUAUAAUCUUUUAUUGUUUGUUUUGUUUUUGUUUUCAUAUUAUUGUAAUUGUCUGCUUUUAUUUGCCUCAUUGUCAUCAUGAAAUGUUAAAUAAAGCUUCUUGUUGUCUGACUUGGCUAGGCUGACUGUUGGCUUAAAAGUUAAAGAGAAAAGAAUGUUGAAAUAGUUCUACCAAACAGUUCCCACUCAAGGUCCACUUACUGGUAUUUUCUUGAGUUUUCAGCCACAUCACACAGUGUUCAUGGAUGUAUGAAGUUUGUUCAGAUAAUUUCAGCAACCUCAGACUGUAACAGAAC